UCCCUGGUGGUCCAGUGGUUAGGACUCUGUGCUUAUAAUGCCAAAGGCCUGGGUUCGAUCCCUGGUUGGGGAA